UCUACGGGUGGCAGCAGUGGGGAAUAUUGCACAAUGGGCGAAAGCCUGAUGCAGCAACGCCGCGUGAAGGAAGACGGUUUUCGGAUUGUAAACUUCUAUCAAUAGGGAGGAAAGAAAUUACGGUACCUAAAUAAGAAGCCCCGGCUAACUACGUGCCAGCAGCCGCGGUAAUACGUGGGGGGCAAGGGUUAUCCGGAAUUACUGGGUGUACAGGUAGAGUCGGCGGCAAGGUAAGCGAUAUGUGAAAGCCUUAAGCUUAACUUAAGGAUUGCAUAACGAACUAUCUAGCUAGAGUACAGGAGAGGAAAGCGGAAUUCCUAGUGUAGCGGUGAAAUGCGUAGAUAUUAGGAAGAACACCAGUGGCGAAGGCGGCUUUCUGGACUGAAACUGACGCUGAGGCUCGAAAGCGUGGGGAGCGAACAGGAUUAGAUACCCGUGUAGUC
rnacentral:rRNA from 1 species